AACGAACUCUGGCGGCAGGCUUAACACAUGCAAGUCGAGCGCCCCGCAAGGGGAGCGGCAGACGGGUGAGUAACACGUGGGAACGUACCUUUUGCUACGGAAUAGCUCCGGGAAACUGGAAUUAAUACCGUAUGUGCCCUUCGGGGGAAAGAUUUAUCGGCAAAAGAUCGGCCCGCGUCUGAUUAGCUAGUUGGUGGGGUAAUGGCCUACCAAGGCGACGAUCAGUAGCUGGUCUGAGAGGAUGAUCAGCCACACUGGGACUGAGACACGGCCCAGACUCCUACGGGAGGCAGCAGUGGGGAAUAUUGGACAAUGGGCGCAAGCCUGAUCCAGCCAUGCCGCGUGAGUGAUGAAGGCCUUAGGGCUGUAAAGCUCUUUCGCUAGGGAAGAUAAUGACGGUACCUAGAGAAGAAGCCCCGGCUAACUUCGUGCCAGCCGCCGCCGUAAGAC
rnacentral:rRNA from 1 species